AAGGGAAGGCAGGAGAAAGGCUGCCUUCAUAUGGCAGAAGUAGCCCGGUCCCUGUCCCUACA
rnacentral:miRNA from 1 species